rnacentral:rRNA from 1 species
UACAGAGGUCUCAAGCGUUGUUCGGAUUCAUUGGGCGUAAAGGGCGCGUAGGCGGCUCAUGAAGGCUGUGGUGAAAGUCCGGGGCUCAACCUCGGAUCGGCCGUGGCGACUCGUGGGCUGGAGCACUGUAGAGGCGGGUGGAAUUCCGGGUGUAGCGGUGGAAUGCGUAGAGAUCCGGAAGAACACCAGUGGCGAAGGCGGCCCGCUGGGCAGUGGCUGACGCUGAGGCGCGACAGCGUGGGGAGCAAACAGG